CGGGGCGUAGCGCAGCCUGGUAGCGCACCUGCCUGGGGGGCAGGGGGUCGUGGGUUCGAAUCCCGCCGCCCCGACCA
rnacentral:tRNA from 5 species